GCCAGCAUGGUGUAGUGGCUUGAAUGAUGGACUAUGGCUCAGGAGACCAGGGUUUGAGUCCUAGCUCUGGCA